CCUACGGGGCGCAGCAGUAGGGAAUCUUCCACAAUGGGCGAAAGCCUGAUGGAGCAACGCCGCGUGGGUGAAGAAGGUCUUCGGAUCGUAAAACCCUGUUGUUAGAGAAGAAAGUGCGUGAGAGUAACUGUUCACGUUUCGACGGUAUCUAACCAGAAAGCCACGGCUAACUACGUGCCAGCAGCCGCGGUAAUACGUAGGUGGCAAGCGUUAUCCGGAUUUAUUGGGCGUAAAGGGAACGCAGGCGGUCUUUUAAGUCUGAUGUGAAAGCCUUCGGCUUAACCGGAGUAGUGCAUUGGAAACUGGGAGACGUGAGUGCAUAAGAGGAGAGUGGAACUCCAUGUGUAGCGGUGAAAUGCGUAGAUAUAUGGAAGAACACCAGUGGCGAAAGCGGCUCUCUGGUCUGUAACUGACGCUGAGGUUCGAAAGCGUGGGUAGCAAACAGGAUUAGAUACCCCUGUAGUC
rnacentral:rRNA from 1 species